AUAAAUUUGCUGAUGUGGAGGAAGGAGGCUGACAGAGUACACAUCUGAGGGCUAGGAGGUCUGAUGAAGCCUAAAAGCCCCCAGAAUACGUGGGGCCCCUGAGGGCCCUGGGUGGCUCCAAGACACAUACUCCCCAUGGUGGGGACCCCACGCCCCGCUGGAGCAGACAGAGACCAGCUCCCACUGGAAGGUCCACCAGGCCUCCCAGGGGCCAUCCACCCCUGAGACCCGCCCUGGCCACCUACCUCGGCAGGAGGGCAGUGGGAAGUCCCACGUGGCACUGUUCUCGGAGCCAGCGUGGCAGGUGAGCACAGCGUGGCCCUCCAGGAAGAAGCCGGGGUUGCAGCUGUAGCGGACCUUGUCACCGAGGUUGAAGGUAGAGCCCUGCUGGACGCCGUUGGGUAGCCGCCCGGGGUUCCCACAUGUGUGGCUGGGGAGCACUGUGAGCAGAAAGAGAGACGCAGCCCGUGAACGGGGCUCCAGCCCUGACCCCCUGCCUCCGAGCGCCACCUCCCUGGGCGACCCCCCUCCCCAAGCCUCCUCUCUUCCUUAGGAUAGGACUGUGCCCUCCCGGCUGCCUGGGCCCUGAAUACUCACAGGGGUCACGUGCUCAAAAGGAGCCCCAAGUGCAAUUUAUUCCCGGACAUCCAGGUUUCCUGCUCUCUCUCAUGAGCAGCCCUGGGUGUGAAGUAUGUUUGAAGCUGUGGAUCAGUUCAGUCAGUCACAGCUGUAUCCUGCCUUCGCCACUCAGGUUCAUUUAAUCUGUUGCUACAAAAGGUUUGCAUGUCCUCCUCCAAGGAGCACAGACCCCAAACCACAAAAGCCUGCCUGAACUGUUUUCCAGGAAUUUGUGUCUGGUUGAGCUAAUCAAGACUAAAUAACACCACCCACUUUCUCACUGGGCAUGUGUGAGUGAACACUCAGUGACCAUUUGAUAUCAGAGGGCUAAAAAACUACACCCUCAGAAGGUGCUAAGUGCCCUCAAAAUGUGCAGAGGCCUGUAGCUUAGCUACAUGUGUGCAGAAGGGUGAUCACUGCACCUUUACCCAAGCACCUUUACCCAUGCUCCCCAAGCCUCAGACCACCUUGCUUCUCUAGUCUCUAUCCCACAAAUAUCCUGAGGCCCUUGUCUUUGAAUUAAAAGAUGCU
rnacentral:lncRNA from 1 species